CAACCCUCAAGCUCUGCUUGGUGUUGGGGAUCGGCAGCCCGGCGCCCUCUGCGGCGCCUCGCCGUCCCCCAAAUCCAGUGGCGGUCACGCUGCAGCCUCCUAUGCGUAGUAGCACACCUCGCGGCGGAGAGCGGCGCGGCCACGCCGUAAAACCCCCUACUAUCAUUGU
rnacentral:misc_RNA from 1 species